AAUCGUGGCUAGAGGGGGCUGCUGGCGCCUGCGCCACCCUCGCCCUACAGAGGCGUCCCGGGCGCGGGGGAGCCGCUUCUCCGCCCUGCCGUCCGGCCAGCGGCUUCAGUGCCAGUGGGCAGCGCGAUGCAGCAGCCAGCAGCGAGAAAGGCGCUGCCUCCCGGCAGGCCCCUCGGGAGACGGCUCCGAGAGGGUCGCCCGGGGACACGACGAGGGCUCCCGCCGGCUCCUGCUUCCUCCCCGUGCGCCGAUCCCAGGGAGGGCGGAGGCCAGCCCAGUGGCUGGAGGUUUCCCGGCACCCCGACCCAGAGGCUCCAGGGGGGCUCGGCGGCCCUUCCACCUCCAGCUUCACGACCAGGCGACCCCUCUGACCUUGGCAACUGUGCGAGGUGUGUGGACUUCGGCUCCCAGAAUUCCUCGGCCAGUAUGUCAGGCUGGGGAACUCUGGGAGUCGAAGUCCACAGAUCUUUACAAUGGCCAAGGCUGAGAAACGCUUGUCUGGAUCGACGUUUGGAGGCUGAGUGCGGAUCCUGUUCUGCACCAGCAGUAGCUGCGGAGUGGCCUGCCUGGGCUGAGCCGCCGGUUUGGGUUGGCUCUGACCCCCUGCCCAACAGGCUUGGCCAAAAGGGAGGAAGUGCCCCCACCCCCACCUGGGGCUUCUUCGUGCGGUGGCUUAGUGGAGAGCUGCUGCUGGGGCAGGGGGCUGUAUUUGCCACUCAGUUCUGCAAAGGUGGGAAGAAAGUCAGUUUCCUUUUUUCAGUAGUGUGGUUUCCCUGUAGCAUCUCUUGUCGCUUUAUUUCCUUAUGUAUAAAUGCGUGCACGCACGCACGCACACACACACACAUAGGACGGAAGAGCCCCCACCCACAGACUUCCUGUUGCAGACUGCCUGCAAAAAUCUUCCCUAUAUCUCCUUGCCCAGUCAUUUUUUCACCUGUUAGAAGACAGUCAUCUGCCACCUGUGCUGACAAAAACGGUGACAACAUAAUAUCUGGCUCUCCCAUCGACAAGCAUGGGAAGCCAGGAACAGUUGCUGUGGGUAACUGCCGUUGCCCUGUUCUUCCAAGGUAGGACUAAAUCCAAGGCAGGCAGUUUGAGAGGGUUGUGGCUUGUGAACUCGGGGCUGGGAGCAGGGGGGUGGGGAGAGAGGGUAGGCAGGCUGCAAAAGAAAGAAGGAGCCGGGCAUAGGGAGAAGGCAGGAGGACCAGAUUGCCAUUACCAUGUGUUGCUUGCACUCAGCUGUGUUUGUGAUUCAGGGCAUCUGCUUAUACACACAAGCACAGACAAUCUGAAAGCAGCAAACCCACGUCCUCUUCACACCUGGCCUGCAGCCGGAGGCAGCCAGGCUGACCAGGUGUAGUCAGCCACUUCCCUCUGUCUCGCCAAGCUCCUAAAUGAGGAAUGGGACAUUUAUGUUGCAAGCUUUUGGAGGAAAGGCUGCAUGCAAAUGUAAAUUCAUCCCACUGAAGAGAAAAAACUGUCAGAGGAAAUGAUGGAGAUAUUCCCUUUGGGUGGUUGCCAGAUUCCAGGGCCAAAAGAUCUGUGAGGGGAUCCCGUCUCCCCAGCCUGUGGCAGGCAUCAGCAUAAGUGGAAAUGCCGCAUCUGGAAAAGGUAUGCUUUAUCCAGGUUUUCUAAAACCAGAGAGGCAGCUCGGAAGGAGUUCAGAUAAGGUGGAUUGAUACAGUAUGUCUGGGGCCAGCCAAAGGUUGUGGCCAUGCUUUACUGACUAUGCCAUAAUUGCCUGAGUUUGCACAAUGUGUGUAGAUUGUGAUGCACAAUCCCAGUCAGUGACUCUUGGUGUGCUUAAAUUCUGGCUCUCUUUCAUUUGGGGCUGGUUUCUGAAUUUUCCAGAUCCUGAGUGUUUGAAAAAAGCUUGUUUCUGAAAGAAUACUGUAUUUUUCGGAGCAUAAGACGCACCUUUUUUCCUCAAAAAAGAGGCUGGAAAUCUGGGUGCGUCUU